ACGUAGGAGGCGAGCGUUGUCCGGAUUCAUUGGGCGUAAAGAGCGCGCAGGCGGCUUGGUAAGUCGGAUGUGAAAUCCCGAGGCUCAACCUCGGGUCUGCAUCCGAUACUGCCCGGCUAGAGGUAGGUAGGGGAGAUCGGAAUUCCUGGUGUAGCGGUGAAAUGCGCAGAUAUCAGGAGGAACACCGGUGGCGAAGGCGGAUCUCUGGGCCUUACCUGACGCUGAGGCACGAAGGCCAGGGGAGCAAACAGG
rnacentral:rRNA from 1 species